GCAUAUCAAUAAGCGGAGGAAAAGAAACUAACAAGGAUUCCCCUAGUAACGGCGAGUGAACCGGGAAGAGCUCAAAUUUGAAAUCUGGCGUCCUCAGGGCGUCCGAGUUGUAAUCUAUAGAGGCGUUUUCCGCGCCGGACCGUGUAUAAGUCUCCUGGAACGGAGUAUCAAAGAGGGUGACAAUCCCGUGCUUUACACGACGACCGGUGCUAUGUGAUACGUCUUCUACGAGUCGAGUUGUUUGGGAAUGCAGCUCAAAACGGGUGGUAAACUCCAUCUAAAGCUAAAUAUUGGUGGGAGACCGAUAGCGAACAAGUACCGUGAGGGAAAGAUGAAAAGCACUUUGGAAAGAGAGUUAAACAGUAUGUGAAAUUGUUGAAAGGGAAACGAUUGAAGUCAGUCGUGUCCAUUGGGUUCAGCCGGUCCUGCCGGUCUACUCCCUUUGGACGGGUCAACAUCAGUUCUGACCGGUGGAUAAUGGCACGAGGAACGUAGCACCCUCCGGGGUGUGUUAUAGCCUCGCGUCGCAUACACUGGUCGGGACUGAGGAACGCAGCUCGCCCUCACGGGCCGGGGUUCGCCCACGUCCGAGCUUAGGAUGUUGACAUAAUGGCUUUAAACGACCCGUCUUGAAACACGGACCAAGGAGUCUAACAUA
rnacentral:rRNA from 1 species